ensembl:lncRNA
GACGCGGGCAAUACCACCACCACCCCCAGAGCUGGGAGCUGCUCGCUCCAUCCCUGCUCCUGGGCAGCCUGAUGGUGCAGCUCCUGCCCAGGUCCAUGCUUUGACAGUAGCCACUUCCCAGGAGCCUUUCCCAACAAAAGGGCCAUUUAGCUGCUGCUGCUUCCAGUCUGAGAACAUCAGAUACUUCUUCAGGCAUCAGAAGGGCUUUACACAAAUCACAACAAUGUAUGAAGAGAUGGAAAUUCUUAGAAAGCACUGUGAGAGAUCAAGCACCAAUAUGCUGCCCCACAUGCUUUUCAAAGCACUUCUCCAUACGCCAUACAACGAAGGAACUUCUUUGUAUGAUUCACCUGUACCGAACAGCGAUUGCUUUGGUAUUUUCCAGUCUUUUGGCUGCUUAACAUCUUCUGUAUCACAUACCUGAAUGGAGGCUGCAUUGCACCCAUGACUCAGACAUUUCUCUUGCAAUAAUUAUACUCCU